rnacentral:lncRNA from 1 species
CUGCAACCAGUGCAGCAACACUGCAUCCAGCUGAAGUUGCAUUGCAGGCUCACUGCAAUCACUGAGGGAUCACUGCAUCCAAUGGAUGUUCACAGCAUCCACAGUCAGGGACACAGCUGGCUGCACUGCAUCCACUGCAGGGACACUGCAUCCAGAUGAACUCGCACUGCAAUUGCACUGCAAUGACUGCAGGAUCACUGCAUCGUCCUUCAUGGGCCCUGAAUCCUGCUUCACAACAUACUGCAUCCACCUUGAGUCACACUGCAGACACUGCAUGGGCACAGCAUCCACAUUCAGGGACAUGGCAGGGGGCUCUGCAACUACUGCAGCUACACUGCAUCCAGCUGAAGUGGCAAUGCAGGCGCACUGCAAUCACUGAAGAUUCACUGCAUCCACCACAUAGGCACUGCAUCAACAUUUCAGGACAAUGCCGGGGGCACUGCAACCACUGAGCGGACUCUGCAUCCCCCUCAUGGGCACUGCAUCCUCCGUCACAACAUACUGCAUAUACCUUUAGGUACACUGCAUCCACUGCAUGGGCACUGCAUUCACCUUCAGUGACACAGAAGGCGGCACUGUAACCACUGCAGCAACACUGCUUCCAGCUGAUGAGGAAAUGCAGGCGCACUGCAAUCACUGUAGGAUCACUGCAUCCACUGCAUGUUCAGAGCAUCUACAUUCAGGGACACUGCAGGGUGCACUUCAGCACUGCCGGAUCACAGCGUCCACCUCCAUGGGCACUGCAUCACCCGUCACAACAUAGUGCAUGCACCUUGUGGGACAAUGCAUCCACUGCAUGAGCAUUGCAUCCACAUUCCUGGACAAUGCAGGGGCACUGCAAACACUGCAGCAAUACCGCAUCCAGGUGAAGUGGCAAUGCAGGCGCACAUCAAUCACUGCAGGGUCACUGUAUUCACCUUCAUUGGCACUGCAUACUACAACACACCACAAUGCCUCCACAUUGUGGGACACUGCAUCCACUGCAUGAGCACUGCAUCCACAUUCCAGGACAAUGCAGGGGGCAUUGCAACCACUUCA